ACUCCUACGGGAGGCAGCAGUGGGGAAUAUUGGACAAUGGGGGGAACCCUGAUCCAGCCAUGCCGCGUGUGUGAAGAAGGCCUUUUGGUUGUAAAGCACUUUAAGCGAGGAGGAGGCUCUCUUGGUUAAUACCUAAGAAGAGUGGACGUUACUCGCAGAAUAAGCACCGGCUAACUCUGUGCCAGCAGCCGCGGUAAUACAGAGGGUGCGAGCGUUAAUCGGAUUUACUGGGCGUAAAGCGCGCGUAGGUGGCUAAUUAAGUCAAAUGUGAAAUCCCCGAGCUUAACUUGGGAAUUGCAUUCGAUACUGGUUGGCUAGAGUAUGGGAGAGGAUGGUAGAAUUCCAGGUGUAGCGGUGAAAUGCGUAGAGAUCUGGAGGAAUACCGAUGGCGAAGGCAGCCAUCUGGCCUAAUACUGACACUGAGGUGCGAAAGCAUGGGGAGCAAACAGGAUUAGAUACCCUGGUAGU
rnacentral:rRNA from 1 species